CUGCCAUAGGAUAGGAUCGUGCUCGAUUAUGGUUGUUGGUGAGGUAACGGCUCACCAAGCCGAUAAUCGAUAGGGGCCGUGAGAGCGGGAGCCCCAAGAUGGGUACUGAGACAGCGACCCAGGCCUUACGAGGCGCAGCAGGUACGAAACCUCCGCAAUACACGAAAGUGUGACGGGGUUACCCAAAGUGUUCUUAUUGAACUGUGGCAGGUGAGUAAUGUCCCCUGCUAGAAAGGAGAGGGCAAGGCUGGUGCCAGCCGCCGCGGUAAAACCAGCUCUUCAAGUGGUCGGGAUAAUUAUUGGGCUUAAAGUGUCCGUAGCCGGUUUAGUAAGUUCCUGGUAAAAUCAGGUAGCUUAACUAUCUGUAUGCUAGGAAUACUGCUAUACUAGAGGGCGGGAGAGGUCUGAGGUACUACAGGGGUAGGGGUGAAAUCUUAUAAUCCUUGUAGGACCACCAGUGGCGAAGGCGUCAGACUGGAACGCGCCUGACGGUGAGGGACGAAAGCCAGGGGAGCGAACCGGAUUAGAUACCCGGGUAGUCCUGGCCGUAAACGAUGCAUACUAGGUGAUGGUACGGCCAUGAGCCGUGUCAGUGCCGUAGGGAAACCGUUAAGUGUGCCGCCUGGGAAGUACGGUCGCAAGGCUAAAACUUAAAGGAAUUGGCGGGGGAGCACCACAAGGGGUGAAGCCUGCGGUUCAAUUGGAGUC
rnacentral:rRNA from 1 species